CCUACGGGUGGCUGCAGUGGGGAAUAUUGGACAAUGGGCGAAAGCCUGAUCCAGCCAUGCCGCGUGUGUAAAGAAGGCCUUCGGGUUGUAAAGCACUUUCAGUGGGGAAGAAAGCCUUGGGGCUAAUACCCUCGAGGAAGGACAUCACCCACAGAAGAAGCACCGGCUAACUCCGUGCCAGCAGCCGCGGUAAUACGGAGGGUGCGAGCGUUAAUCGGAAUUACUGGGCGUAAAGCGCGCGUAGGCGGUCUGAUAAGCCGGUUGUGAAAGCCCCGGGCUCAACCUGGGAACGGCAUCCGGAACUGUCAGGCUAGAGUGCAGGAGAGGAAGGUAGAAUUCCCGGUGUAGCGGUGAAAUGCGUAGAGAUCGGGUGGAAUACCAGUGGCGAAGGCGGCCUUCUGGACUGACACUGACGCUGAGGUGCGAAAGCGUGGGUAGCAAACAGGAUUAGAUACCCCGGUAGUC
rnacentral:rRNA from 1 species